rnacentral:rRNA from 1 species
GAUGAACGCUGGCGGCGUGCUUAACACAUGCAAGUCGAACGAUGAAGCCCAGCUUGCUGGGUGGAUUAGUGGCGAACGGGUGAGUAACACGUGAGUAACCUGCCCUUAACUCUGGGAUAAGCCUGGGAAACUGUGUCUAAUACCGGAUAGGAGCGCCUACCGCAUGGUGGGUGUUGGAAAGAUUUAUCGGUUUUGGAUGGACUCGCGGCCUAUCAGCUUGUUGGUGAGGUAAUGGCUCACCAAGGCGACGACGGGUAGCCGGCCUGAGAGGGUGACCGGCCACACUGGGACUGAGACACGGCCCAGACUCCUACGGGAGGCAGCAGUGGGGAAUAUUGCACAAUGGGCGAAAGCCUGAUGCAGCGACGCCGCGUGAGGGAUGACGGCCUUCGGGUUGUAAACCUCUUUCAGUAGGGAAGAAGCGAAAGUGACGGUACCUGCAGAAGAAGCACCGGCUAACUACGUG